AAAAAGGUAAGCUAAUAUAAGCUAGUGGGUUCAUACCCCACCUAUAGAGAAUUAAACUCUCCUUUUUA
rnacentral:tRNA from 1 species